rnacentral:misc_RNA from 1 species
CCUCCUUUCUAAGGAAACAAUUAUCAUCUUCAGUUUUGAGAGACUUAAGAAAGUUUUUCAUUGUCACUUGCUUGCAAAUUGUAUUUGCAACAUUUUAAUCUUUUUAAGAUUAAGGGCCUAUAGCUCAGUUGGUUAGAGCACACGCCUGAUAAGCGUGAGGUCGGUGGUUCAAGUCCAUUUAGGCCCACCAUAACCACAAAUAGGCAAAAUCUUAAAAAAGCUCUUUGAAAAGUAGAUAAACGAAGGUUAAAAAAUCAAAGGAAUCAA